CCUUCGAUAGCUCAGUUGGUAGAGCGGUGGACUGUAGUGUUGUGAACAAUAAUAUGUAGAAAUCCAUAGGUCGCUGGUUCAAAUCCGGCUCGAAGGA
rnacentral:tRNA from 1 species